GCCCUUGUAGCUCAGUCGGUAGAGCGCGUCCUUGGUAAGGACGAGGUCACCGGUUCAAACCCGGUCAAGGGCUCCA
rnacentral:tRNA from 3 species